UGACUGUUGAAACAGAACAAAGUUCACAUUGUUAACAGCAGUGGCAUUUAUUCAAGAGACAAAACCACAGAAGAAGAAGAAGAAGACAGAGAACAUCGGAGAGCCAGUACUUUUGUUGUUGUUGUCAACGUUGUCUCUGUACUUCAAAAAUAAUCUCUUUCAAUAGAAUUCAGAGCUAAAAUCCACUUUAUCUUUCAACUUGCUGCAACAUACUUAUGCUGGAUGAAUUUUUAAAGUUUUAAAGUUAUUCUGUUAUGAGACAACCAUUAACAAACCAACAUCUUUGACCUUCAGCUGAAGUCUGACUGCUGGAGACCAUUUCAAACAUCAGGAGGGAAAACAUUCAAAUCUAUACAUCAGGGAAAACUUGCAAGUAUGGAGGUGUUGAGUGGGCCCUGGGCUGAUUUGGCUCUGCUCCUGAGACAGACUGUCACACUGUCAAACAUCGAGACAGGCAGCUUUCUCCCUCUCUGGCUGUUUGGCCUGCUGCUGUUCCUGUCUGUUUGUCUGCUGCUGCUGCAAAUAAUUAUCUUCUUCAGCUGGAAACUCAGACAGACUGAGGCAAAUCUAGCAAGGUUUCAGCAGGAUGGAAGUGCCAUCCACAGGCAGAUGGACAGAAGUGCAUAUCUGAAGCGAAGAAGUUUCGGGUUUCAUUCGUGUACCUGACGUGAGACAUAAACAUUAAUGGGCACAUUUUAACAUGGAUGGGAACAGACAAGGUAUAUAUAGUGGAUUAUGCUGUAUUCUGAAUACAGUGCAUCUGGACUCAGGCAAUGAACAUUGGGAAAAAAAAACAUUAUCUGUGUUUGAAACUGUAGAAACCCUCAGGGCCAUCUGGAAAUUAUAAAGAAAAAGAAAAAUCUGUUCUUAUACAAUAAAUUGUUUGGAAAUAAUGUUUAUCAGUCUUGAUAAAUAAAAAAAAAUCCCUUCUACAGAUGUAUCUAUAAUUGUAUGUAAAGCUCAUAAGAGACAAUGAAGUGUUUGUAAUGUGAUCACAGUGUACACUGUUCUGUACACAUUUUAUUAGAAUGACUGGACAAAAUACAUAGUUCUCACAUCAUGUGUGUCAACAUAUGAAUAAAGUGAGUGUAUGAGGAAAAGAAACGCUUCAAAGGAUUUCAGAGUAUAACAAUCCUUUAUUUAAACAGUGUUACACAGGGGGGAGGAGUGGAUGUGUGUGGGGAAACACAACACAAUUAAGCUGCUAGACCAAAAGAAAAAAAGAAG